GGAGGAUCCAAGCGUUAUCCGGAUUUAUUGGGUUUAAAGGGUGCGUAGGCGGAAUAGUAAGUCAGUGGUGAAAGCCUGCAGCUUAACUGUAGAAUUGCCAUUGAUACUGCUAAUCUUGAGUACAUAUGAAGUGGGCGGAAUGUGUCAUGUAGCGGUGAAAUGCUUAGAUAUGACACAGAACACCGAUUGCGAAGGCAGCUCACUAAACUGUAACUGACGCUGAGGCACGAAAGCAUGGGGAGCAAACAGGAUUAGAUACCCUGGUAGUCCAUGCCGUAAACUAUGAUUACUCGAUGUGUGCGAUACACUGUACGCGUCUAAGSGAAAGCGUUAAGUAAUCCACCUGGGAAGUACGACYKYAAGGUUG
rnacentral:rRNA from 1 species